GGAGGUCCGCGCCGCCAGCUCGGCCAGGCAGCCAGCCCCGUGCUCCUCUGGGCCGCGCGUGUCAUGUCAAUCCUCGCCGGGCUUCACGGAGUGGCGUUCAAAUCCCUACAUGAAAGACAACUCGAAAGGCAGCACGUGGUGACGUCCAUCUCGCAGCCCAGGGAAUUCUCGCCAGUCCUGCCGAGAAGGGGCCUCUGGAAGGCAGGAACGGAACGUGUCCUCUUUACACUGGGCCCAGCACAGGGCGUGUUUGGAUGGAUGCUACAGUACGGGGCCUCCUCCCUACCCUUGGGGGCCAGGCACACUCAGGACCUCCCUCCCACUGCCAUCCAGAAGGCUGGUCCAGAUCUAAACCCUACUGGAAAAGAGGCAAGGGAGUCUCACUCUGUCGCCCAGGCUGGAGUGUAAUGGCGCAAUCUUGGCUCACUGCAAGCUCCGCCUCCCGGGUUCACGCCAUUCUCCUGCCUCAGCCUCCCGAGUAGUUGGGACUACAGGCGUCCACCACCACACCCAGGGCUUUCCUGUUUGGGGCCAGGCUUUGUGUCUGCGGCAGGCAUGGUCCGGGCCUUAAGCGUCUUAUGGAUUUCCAGGCGGGACACUGGUAUCAAGGAACUGAGAGGUGAGCCUCAGGAAGCAGGGCCGGCUCUCAUCACCUCCUCCCCAAGAAGAGCUGUGGCUUUAGGUCUCUGGAGGCAGAGAGAAGGAAGCCUUCGUCACCAGGCCCCCUCCCUGGGCACCAGGAUGGGCGGGACACAGAGGCCCUCCUCCUGCCGCCUGGAAAGGGAGCCCACAGGCACCCUUAAGGUUCUGUGUUUCGCUCCUCUAACCCAGCCCUGGGCUCCCCCCGCCAUGUGUUCUGGUACCCCACCCAACAGACACCUCCCCAUGCCUGUGUUCCCAGUGGCCUUUCCCUGCGUCUGGCGACUCUCACUCCCUUGGGCCACAGCAAUAAACAAGGCAGAGGAGCCACUA
rnacentral:lncRNA from 1 species